UCGGUUAUUUCGGGAUUUUUUUGAAGCGUAAAGCGCGCGCAGGCGGUUUCUUAAGUCUGAUGUGAAAGCCCACGGCUCAACCGUGGAGGGUCAUUGGAAACUGGGGAACUUGAGUGCAGAAGAGAAAAGCGGAAUUCCACGUGUAGCGGUGAAAUGCGUAGAGAUGUGGAGGAACACCAGUGGCGAAGGCGGCUUUUUGGUCUGUAACUGACGCUGAGGCGCGAAAGCGUGGGGAGCAAACCGGAUUAGAUACCCUGGUAGUCCACGCCGUAAACGAUGAGUGCUAAGUGUUAGAGGGUUUCCGCCCUUUAGUGCUGCAGCUAACGCAUUAAGCACUCCGCCUGGGGAGUACGGUCGCAAGACUGAAACUCAAAGGAAUUGACGGGGCCCGCACAAGCGGUGGAGCAUGUGGUUUAAUUCGAAGCAACGCGAAGAACCUUACCAGGUCUUGACAUCCUCUGACAACUCUAGAGAUAGAGCGUUCCCCUUCGGGGGACAGAGU
rnacentral:rRNA from 2 species